GUGAGGGAUGAAGCAUUUCGGUGUGUAAACCUCUGUCGUUGGUGACUAAAGUUUUCAGGAGUGGAAAGCCUGGAGAUUGAAUGUAGCCAAGAAGGAAGCACUGGCUAACUCUGUGCCAGCAGCCGCGGUAAUACAGGGAGUGCAAGCGUUGUUCGGAAUUACUGGGCGUAAAGGGAGCGUAGGCGGAGCUACAAGUCAGGGGUUAAAGAUCCGGGCUCAACCUGGAAAGUGCCUUUGAGACUGUAGUUCUUGAGUAUGGCAGAGGCUAGCGGAAUUACCGGUGUAGCGGUGGAAUGCGUAGAUAUCGGUAAGAACACCAGAGGCGAAGGCGGCUAGCUGGGCCAAUACUGACGCUGAGGCUCGAAAGUGUGGGGAGCAAACAGGAUUAGAUACCCUGGUAGUCCACACCGUAAACUAUGAACACUAGAUGUCGGGGAGUUGAUUUCCCGGUGUCGGCGCUAACGCAAUAAGUGUUCCGCCUGGGGAGUACGCUCGCAAGGGUG
rnacentral:rRNA from 1 species